UACGUAGGCAGCGAGCGUUGUUCGGAAUUACUGGGCGUAAAGGGUCCGUAGGCGGUGUGGCAAGUCGGAAGUGAAAUCUCUGGGCUUAACCCAGAGGCUGCUCCCGAAACUGCUAUGCUAGAGUGCGAGAGAGGCGAGUGGAAUUGCGGGUGUAGCGGUGAAAUGCGUAGAUAUCCGCAGGAACAUCCGAGGCGAAAGCGGCUCGCUGGAUCGCAACUGACGCUGAGGGACGAAAGCUAGGGGAGCAAACGGG
rnacentral:rRNA from 1 species